CUUUACUUUUAGUACAUUACACAACUAACUACAAAGAAACUAAAGUAACACAUUAAAUAGACUAAACGUGAAAUUUUGAUGUACAAAGAAGUAUGAUUUCUCGAAAGACAAACUUCAGUAAUCAUUAUUUUAUCAUUAGAAUUUCAACUGGCCGUAAAUGCAUGUGCGUGAGCAGAGGUAACCAUAGCAACAGUAUAUGACUUGAGUGCUUUACUAUAGCAUCAUCAACAGUGACAAUAUUUGACACUUUAUAGUCUUACUUAUCAUAAACUAUCUAAAAAAAGUCGAGGGGUGUGUGUUUUCACCUGGCAUUAUUUAUAGGCUAGCAAACAGAAUUUGCAUCUCUUCAGGAGGUAACCAUAGCAACAGUACCAGGCUUGAGUGCUUUAUGAAAGUGUCAUCAUCGGGUGUAACUCUGACAAAACAGUGUUAAUAUUUGACACUUUAUAGUUUACUCUAUCAUAAACGUAUCUCAGAAAGUCAGUACAAGUCAGUCAGGGCGGAUAAUUUUACCUGGGAUUAAACAGUACGCGAGUUGAGCGAUUUAUCGGCUAAAACGUUAACAAAACAGUACCAUUAUUUGACACUGUAUAGUGUUAUUUAUCACACAUUUAUCUAAAAAAGUCAGUACAAGUUAGUCAGAGCGCAUAAUUUUACCUGGCAUCAAACAGGCUCUCGCAAAUGGGAAUUGUCAUCGCUGAAGAGGUAACCAUAGCAACAGUAUGUGACUUGAGCGAUUUAUCGGCUAAAAUGUUAACAAAACAGUGCCGUUAUUUGACACUGUAUAGUGUUAUUUAUCACAAAAAGUCAGUACAAGUUUUUCAGGACACAUAAUUUUACAUGCCAUCAAACAAGCUAUUGCUAUGGCUGAAGAGGUAACCAUAGCAACAGUAUGUGACUUGAGCGAUAUAUCGGCUAACACAUUAACAAAAAUGUGGCACUAUUUGACACUGUAUAGUGUUAUUUAUCACAAAUGUAUCUCAAACAGUCAGUGCGAGUUUGUCAGGACGCAUAAUUUUACAUGGCGUCAAACAAGCUGGAAUUGCUAUCCCUGAGGAGGUAACCAUAGCAACAGUACGCAACUUGAGCGCUUUACAAUAAUCGGAUGGAACGUUAAGGAAAGUGCCAAUAUUCGACACUUUAUAGUUUUACUUAUAAAAAUAUCUAAGAAAGUCAGUAUUUGUUAAAGAAAAAAUGUUGGCUAACUGGAUUCUGCAAAAAAAAAAAAAAAAAAAAAAAAAAAUAGAAAAAAAAAAAAUACAAUUAUUAACCCUUGAAAGUAUAGCUAUAUCAGUGGCCACAGUAGUACUAAUAUCUCAGAUAAAGUAAUAAUCGUAUUUAUGUCAUAAAUGAAACAAAUGUGAGUUUUUACACUUCAUAACGUUCUUUGCUCUUUUGUUUGUUCAUUUCUAUCACUGAGGGUCAACCUCUGUGGUCUCCCCCCUUCACACGGGGCUUCAAUGGACAGUUCCAUCUGAUGAAGUUGAAAAAGGCGAAUCAACCUGUUCCACACCAGAGCCAGAGCCGCUGCGUCUGCUCUCCAAUCCGAGCACGGUUCGCAGCCGCCGGCUUUCUCCAGAGGACCGCUCAUGAUGCGUCUCCACCACGAACGACGGAACGCGUGUGAAUAAUCCGCUGGAGAUUGCGGGAGAAUCCAGCUCCAGAAGCCGAAGGUCUGUUCGGAUGGUGAGGAGCGAGCGGGCGGUCGAGCAUCCAUGCGCCUCGGCGGACUGUUGCGAAGUGAGCUGUGCUCGUGCGCCGGCUGCUGAAAUGCAGUCUCUCAUCUCACCAGUGACUAAGGCUAUCCUUGUAGCUCUGUUUAUUUUUGCCAUUUUGCUCAUCCUGUACGUGAUACUGUGGUAUAUAUGCAGAGACGUGGACUGUGAUCACGGCAUUUGAAUUUGGAGACCGAAGCUGCGGAUCCGCGGAGACGUCAGGGUGACCCCGUUUUGCCCAAACAGAAUGGCAAGGAUGUAAUACUGACAGGCGGCAAUAAAGGACUCGGCUAUGAGACGGUCAGACAGCUGACGAAUCUGGGAGUUUAUGUCAUAAUAGCCUCACAUGAUGAAGCGGAGGGUCUGGCCGCUGUGAAGAAGAUUUGUGAGGAGGACAGUGAAGCUCAGCG